rnacentral:lncRNA from 1 species
GAAGAAAAACCUGUCUGAGGCAAACGAAAGAUUGGCAAACAGCACAGCCUCUUCCUCCUCUCAAUUCACUUGAUCCCACUCAUUCAAUUAUUUCAGCUUCUUUUUUUUCCAGGAUUAAUAUGUAGCACUAUUUUCAUUUCACUUUUUUUUUCAUUUCACUUUUUAAAUUCUGCUUUUGUACUAUUAGGAAAAUUUAAGAGGUAUUACCAUAGUGAGUUACAGGAGGAAAAAAAACCCCACGACAGUGCCGACCUCACGGAUUUUUACCACACCACUGGCUCUCCCUGCGGGGCUCGUACACUGGGCUGCUGCUCUANNAUCCUCUAUCUAUCCUCCACUCCGCCUGCUCGCCGCCUCCGCGUGGUUGCCAAGCCAAGCCGCACGCUAGCUUCACCACACCGCACUGGCUUCCUCCUUCCUGGAAUCCUCUCCU